rnacentral:tRNA from 1 species
GCCAUCUUAGCUCAGUUGGUAGAGCGUAGCAUUCGUAACGCUAAGGUCCCGAGUUCAAUCCUCGGAGAUGGCU